rnacentral:rRNA from 1 species
UUUAAAUGUAAAUUUUUGAACUAAAUUAGUAAUAGAUAUGAUCUUCAAAUUUAAAGAUUUUGGCGGUAUUUUAGUCUAUUCAGAGGAACCUGUUCUGUAAUUGAUAGUCCACGAUUAACUUUACUUAAUUUUAAAAAUUUGUAUAUCGUUGUUUAUAGAAAAUUUUAUAAGAAAAAUAAUUUUUAAUAAAUUUAAUUAAAUAAUAAAUCAAAUCAAGGUGCAGUUUAUAGUUAAGUUAGAAAUGGGUUACAAUAAAUUUAUUUAUUAAUGAAUAUGAAUUUUAAAAUUUUAUUGAAGGUGGAUUUGAUAGUAAUAUUAUUUAAUUUAAUAAUAUGAUUAUAGCUCUAAAAUAUGU